rnacentral:sRNA from 1 species
CUUUUACUUCUUUAUUCAUUACCCACGCAUUCAUUUAUAAAACAUAUCAUAUAUAUUACCCGUAAUAUAUAGCAUAUACCUUUUAUAAAUACCCGCUAUUCUGCAUAUCUUUUGUGGUCAAUCUCUGUCUUUUUGAUUAUUACUACGUUUCCCCUUAUAAACGCAUUUUACAUAUUUGUCCUCUUUCUCUUUUGAUUUAACAAAUUUACCUUCAUAUUCCCUUUUUGCAUCCUAAAAACUAUCUUUCGUUAUAUUUUUCCAAUCAUAUUUCUACAUUAUAUAGUCUAAAGUCAAUAUGUUGUUCAAAUCAUUCGCUCUCACUCUUCUUUUCGCCGCAGCUCGCGUACAAGCUGCUUCCAACUGCUCCAGCGGCCCUUACAAUAUCUCCGCCCAAGGUACUCUUGACGAGCUUAACAGCUGUACUGUAUUGAAUGGNGAUUUGUACAUUUCUGAUGCUGGUAACUCUGGCAUCACCACCCUUACUGUUAAUGGAAUUGAGUCCGUUCAAGGNGAUGNUUGUGGUNUCCUGAUGGUCAAUAUUUUGACCUCUCUUUCCUUCCCUUCUUUGAAAAACGUUUUCUGGNGCUUUUAACGUUAACAACAUGAUCCCGNAUGAAACCACCUUGGCUACCCCCGNAGCUCACUUCCGGGUGGNAAGCCCUAAAUCCUUGCUGUNUUUACCCAAACUUANNAGGAAGCUUUCAAAUUUUUAACGCCCUNGUCCUUUCCCGAAUUCUUGAAAAGUGCCNUAAAUUGAANGAACCCCCAACUUCCAAGCUUAUUUGGAANGGNANNCAAGCUUGGGAAUUCCCCGNCCCACNAAUUUNCCCAAGGNAAACACCANCAAUCCNCNNNANUUNUUCCCNGGAANAUCACCCNUGGGGANGGCCCUCCNAAAANNGGCCUCG